ACCAAAGGCAAACCCCCCUUCGGUCCAAAAGCUGCCCGUUGAACCACCCCGUUCCAGCCACCCGUGCAUUUGCCGACCCUUCCGGCGUGACUGGCGUCCCCCCGCAUCCAAAAUCCCUCUGUAAAUUCAUUGAAAGGAGCCGCCAUUUUUCGUGGAGUUGUCGAAUAAGCUCGGUCGAAACCCCCCCUGGUCAGUUAAUUGUAAAAUCUGGUCGCCUCGCCUCACCGUUGACGUCGUUGAACUCCCCACCCGACCGGUGGGUUGAGUCGUCGUCGCUGUUUUUCUAGUCGCCAACGUGGAUACUUGUGGAUCUCUCUAUCGUUCGUUUGCUCGGCCCGAUUCCUUCCGAUUUGUCCGUCAUCACAAUCUCGAGAAUAUUCGUUUGCGUACAACAAAAGAGCAUAGUGAAACUGGUGCUCGAUAGAUCUCCCAGACUGAUUCAUUUUUUCGAGGUUUAGACCGAUCGAGCUAAUAAUUCCUUACAAACCUAAGGCGUCCAUUGGGUAGGCUCUGAGGCCCCGAGAAUUUUAUUGGGUAUAUCUCAAGCCCCAAGAUGCUCCCUUAGGUUGACUCUUAUACCUAAUGGAUAUAAGAUGCUUUUUGGAUAGGCGUGUAACAUCCUCAAUACCGGAUAUUAAGCCUAAACAAGUUCCGGAACAAUCAAAGAAU